rnacentral:rRNA from 1 species
CCCUUAGAUGUUCUGGGCUGCACGCGCGCUACACUGAUGCGUUCAACGAGUGUUUUCCUUUUCCGACAGGAAUGGGUAAUCUUCUGAACACGCAUCGUGAUGGGGAUAGAUUAUUGCAAUUAUUAAUCUUCAACGAGGAAUUCCUAGUAAUGAUGAAUCAUCAGUUCAUCGUGAUUACGUCCCUGCCCUUUGUACACACCGCCCGUCGCACCUACCGAUUGAAUGGUCCGGUGAAAUCUCGGGACGGCGGCUUGGUCGCUUGCGUCCGACUGCUGAAACUUGAUUAAACCAUAUCAUUUAGAGGAAGGUGAAGUCGUAACA